rnacentral:rRNA from 1 species
GCUUGCUCCUGGUGGCGAGUGGCGAACGGGUGAGUAAUGCGUCGGAACGUACCGAGUAAUGGGGGAUAACGCAGCGAAAGCUGUGCUAAUACCGCAUACGCCCUGAGGGGGAAAGUGGGGGAUCGCAAGACCUCACGUUAUUCGAGCGGCCGACGUCUGAUUAGCUAGUUGGUGGGGUAAUGGCCUACCAAGGCGACGAUCAGUAGCGGGUCUGAGAGGAUGAUCCGCCACACUGGAACUGAGACACGGUCCAGACUCCUACGGGAGGCAGCAGUGGGGAAUUUUGGACAAUGGGGGCAACCCUGAUCCAGCCAUUCCGCGUGAGUGAAGAAGGCCUUCGGGUUGUAAAGCUCUUUCAGCUGGAACGAAACGGUGCGCUCUAACAUAGCGUGCUAAUGACGGUACCAGCAGAAGAAGCACCGGCUAACUACGUGCCAGCAGCCGCGGUAAUACGUAGGGUGCGAGCGUUAAUCGGAAUUACUGGGCGUAAAGCGUGCGCAGGCGGAUUGUUAAGCAAGAUGUGAAAUCCCCGGGCUUAACCUGGGAAUGGCAUUUUGAACUGGCAGUCUAGAGUGUGUCAGAGGGGGGUGGAAUUCCACGUGUAGCAGUGAAAUGCGUAGAGAUGUGGAGGAACACCAAUGGCGAAGGCAGCCCCCUGGGAUAACACUGACGCUCAUGUACGAAAGCGUGGGUAGCAAACAGGAUUAGAUACCCUGGUAGUCCACGCCCUAAACGAUGUCAACUGGUUGUUGGGGGGAGUGAAAUCCCUUAGUAACGAAGCUA